GAAACAUCUGCGUCUCGCAAGAGACUGCUAUAUAGGUGCUGCAUGGCUGUCGUCAGCUCGUGUCGUGAGAUGUUGGGUUAAGUCCCGCAACGAGCGCAACCCUUAUCUUUAGUUGCCAUCAGGUCAAGCUGGGCACUCUAACGAAACCGCCUCGGAUAACGGGGAGGAAGGUGGGGAUGACGUCAAGUCCUCAUGGCCUUUAUGUCAGGGCUACACACGUGCUACAAUGGCCGGUACAAACCGUCGCAAACCCGCGAGGGGGAGCUAAUCGGAAAAAGCCGGCCUCAGUUCGGAUUGGAGUCUGCAACCCGACUCCAUGAAGCUGGAAUCGCUAGUAAUCGCGGAUCAGAACGCCGCGGUGAAUACGUUCCCGGGCCUUGUACACACCGCCCGUCACAUCACGAAAGUGGACUGCACUAGAAGUCGGCGUGCCAACCGCAAGGGGGUAGCCGCCCAAGGUAUGGUUCAUGAUUGGGGUGAAGUCGUAACAAGGUAACCGUAA
rnacentral:rRNA from 1 species